rnacentral:lncRNA from 1 species
UUUUGCUGUACUACUCUCCACUCAACCACCCAGACCGGGAAGCAGGUUAUCCUUGACACCUCCUCUCUUCUCCCCCAACCUCGAAGUCCUCACAAAGCCCUACCCAUUAAGCCUGCUGAAUAUUUCUCCAACCAUUCCAUCAUUUCCAUUGCUCUCUGAGACCUUCAUCAUCCUCUCCAGAACUAUUAGAGCAGGGUGCUCACUGAUCUUCCUACUGCUAGUCUUGGCCGUACCCAAUCUAAUUUCAAGCCCAUUUUCAGAAGAACACGUUUAAAAAGCAGACCUGUGUUGCUUUCCUGAUGAAAAACCUUCAAAAGCCUCAGUGAUUUAUGGGAUGGGACCCAGGCUCUUUAGCCUGAUGAAGUACCCCUCCAUCCUCGGACUGUCUGCUAUGUCCGGUCUUAUCC